GAAACGGAUAGAGGUCGCGCGAUUCAAGAGUAGGGGAGCGGAUGCAGCAGGUGCAGGAGAAGCUCUUCGAAAGGGGAAAGCGCCGAAAGGAUAACAGCCUGUCAUGGGAUUCCUUGGGCACUGGAUGAAUAAUUCAGUGACUGUCAUCGAGAUCGAUGGAGCGCUAUCGCAGGA
rfam:Clostridium sp. SY8519 DNA, complete genome.